rnacentral:rRNA from 1 species
UACGGAGGAUGCGAGCGUUAUCCGGAUUUAUUGGGUUUAAAGGGUGCGCAGGCGGAGGUGCAAGUCAGCGGUCAAAUUGCGGGGCUCAACCCCGGCCUGCCGUCGGAACUGGGUGCCUUGAGUGGGCGAGAAGUAUGCGGAAUGCGUGGUGUAGCGGUGAAAUGCAUAGAUAUCGCGCAGAACCCCGAUUGCGAAGGCAGCGUACCGGCUCCACACUGACGCUGAGGCACGAAAGCGUGGGUAUCGAACAGG